rnacentral:rRNA from 1 species
UAACAAGGUUUCCGUAGGUGAACCUGCGGAAGGAUCAUUACCGAGUGCGGGUCUUUAUGGCCCAACCUCCCACCCGUGACUAUUGUACCUUGUUGCUUCGGCGGGCCCGCCAGCGUUGCUGGCCGCCGGGGGGCGACUCGCCCCCGGGCCCGUGCCCGCCGGAGACCCCAACAUGAACCCUGUUCUGAAAGCUUGCAGUCUGAGUGUGAUUCUUUGCAAUCAGUUAAAACUUUCAACAAUGGAUCUCUUGGUUCCGGCAUCGAUGAAGAACGCAGCGAAAUGCGAUAACUAAUGUGAAUUGCAGAAUUCAGUGAAUCAUCGAGUCUUUGAACGCACAUUGCGCCCCCUGGUAUUCCGGGGGGCAUGCCUGUCCGAGCGUCAUUGCUGCCCUCAAGCCCGGCUUGUGUGUUGGGCCCUCGUCCCCCGGCUCCCGGGGGACGGGCCCGAAAGGCAGCGGCGGCACCGCGUCCGGUCCUCGAGCGUAUGGGGCUUCGUCUUCCGCUCCGUAGGCCCGGCCGGCGCCCGCCGACGCAUUUAUUUGCAACUUG